rnacentral:rRNA from 1 species
AGCACUUCGGUGUGGAUUAGUGGCGAACGGGUGAGUAACACGUGAGUAACCUGCCCCUUACUUUGGGAUAACAGUUGGAAACGGCUGCUAAUACCGGAUAUUCUCUGCGCAUCGCAUGGUGUGUGGUGGAAAGUUUUUUCGGUGAGGGAUGGGCUCGCGGCCUAUCAGCUUGUUGGUGGGGUAAUGGCCUACCAAGGCGACGACGGGUAGCCGGCCUGAGAGGGCGACCGGCCACACUGGGACUGAGACACGGCCCAGACUCCUACGGGAGGCAGCAGUGGGGAAUAUUGCACAAUGGGCGAAAGCCUGAUGCAGCGACGCCGCGUGGGGGAUGACGGCCUUCGGGUUGUAAACCUCUUUCAGUAGGGAAGAAGCGAAAGUGACGGUACCUGCAGAAGAAGCGCCGGCUAACUACGUGCCAGCAGCCGCGGUAAUACGUAGGGCGCAAGCGUUGUCCGGAAUUAUUGGGCGUAAAGAGCUUGUAGGCGGUUUGUCGCGUCUGGUGUGAAAACCCAUCGCUUAACGGUGGGCUUGCAUCGGGUACGGGCAGACUAGAGUGCGGUAGGGGAGAUUGGAAUUCCUGGUGUAGCGGUGGAAUGCGCAGAUAUCAGGAGGAACACCGAUGGCGAAGGCAGAUCUCUGGGCCGUAACUGACGCUGAGAAGCGAAAGCAUGGGGAGCGAACAGGAUUAGAUACCCUGGUAGUCCAUGCCGUAAACGUUGGGCACUAGGUGUGGGGAACAUUCCACG